rnacentral:misc_RNA from 1 species
GAUAUCCUUUCUGCCAGUGUUAGUAUCAGUACUUGAAUCUGUUGGAAUCUGAUGUCUCCUGAUAGUAGAAGAAUGAGGAAACUUGCAAUUAGUAUUUCUGAGGGGCUUUUGAAAAUCUGAUUUGUACUUCAUUUAGAGUGUGGAAAAUGAGAAAAAUGCCAUAUUUUACUUCCCUUUUGGUGCAUUAAAUGAAUAGAUAUUCUGGAAUAUUGUGCCAUUCAUGUAAGGUCCCUUAUCAUUCCUUUGUGUGCUACCAAUGGAUUGCUUUAGAUGAUGUAUGUAUAUAUGCCACUAGUUUCAAAUUUCAACCCAAUAA